CCCGCCCAGGCGCAGCAUUCAGCCCUCUCUCUACCAAGGGGACAGCCGCACUGAGAGUGGCCGUGUGCCGCCCCUUGUCCCACCCCUGGGGUCUGUGACCCUGGGACCGGCCCUCUGUCCAUCACCCACCGUCACACAGCACACCAGGACGGCCGCUCCUGUCGCUCUGUCCCUCAGACCCACACUAGGGGCGGGCAUGGCAGCCCCCUCCGGCCUACUGCAACCUCCCAGCCACCGAGCAAGCAGAGGCAGGGCACCUCGAAGUGGCUUCCCUCCCGGCCCAACUGCUGCCAGCCUGGAGAGGGCACUCAGCUCCCGAGGGCUCAGACCAAGCCUUACACACCGAUCCUUGAUGAUGCUGAAGUAAAAGUUGGAGAGCUCCCGAGUGUAAAACGCCUGUAACAGUCGGACAACUUUCCCAAAAUCAUACUGUUUGUAGGCGUCGGUGACCUGCAGAACAAAGUCAAAAACAGACUUUUCUACCCUAGGAGCUACAAAGGAACACGACCAAGCAGAGGAUCAUGGUUUGGGUUUCUGCAGUACAGGCCAGGCAAGUGCUCUGCUGUCCCAUGAGUGACACCCAGCCCUCCAACUUACAUAAUAAAAAUCACACCAUUUUGGGUUUGAGUCUUGCUUCACAGCCCAGGCUGGCCUGCAACAUGCAGUGAUCCUCCUGCCUCAGCCUCCUGUGUGCUAGGACUACAAGCAUGUGCCACACCUGGCCUAAAAUCACACCACUUUUAAAACAGCACAGUGAGGGUUACCAACAAUCCACUCAUGUGCACUCGUUUUUUUGGUUGUUUUGUGGGGUUUUUUUGGUACCAGGGAUCGAACUCAGGUUCUUGUGCUUGCAAGGCAGGUGGUGGAACCACUGAGCUAAAUCCCCAGCCCUCACUCAUUUUUCUGAUUUGCGCAAAACCUGACGUGCGUGCCCUGACCAGUACACCGAGGCAAACACGAAGACACCAACUACUUGUGUGUCUGCACAGCAGCAGGCUCUGCGGAGGCCAGGGGGAGCCGUUGCAGUGACUUCCCUUUACUGAGGCUCCGUCCCGUCCACAGACGCCCUCCCACUGUGGGAAGGGCCGACCGGCGAAGUGUGGCCUGAGGACCAGGCCUCCGCUCCCCAGCUCCUCCGUGCACUGUGAGUCGGGAGUGCACCGCUCCCCACUCGGCCACAGGGACUCUCCAGUGAGGCCUGUUUCUCUCGGAUGAAACACGCUCGGCGGCCCAUCAGCCCGCUCCACACCCACCUUGCUCGCUAAGCCCUGCAGCAGGUGCAGCAUGUACUGGUCGAUGAGGUACAUGCUGUCCACAGGCACGGAGUCUGUCUCCGGGGUGAAGCCAGCCACGUUUCCCAAGAGAAAGCGGA